UUCCGCCUUGGCUCUGGGGACUUUUUCUUCGGCUUUCUUUUGCCUUUGGAGCUUCCGGCCUCUACCAGAGCCCUUGCGUGAAGCUCCUAAAUGAGAUUCCUGCCUCGGAAAGGUGUUUCUAAGGGAGUGCGAUGACGCUUGGAGUAGGCACCUUUUACACCUGAGGAGGCUGGCGGAGGGAGACGCUUUGUUGUUGAUGGAGCAGCCUCAGUGGAUGGUAUUGAGAAAGUCCAAGAUGGCGGUGUCUGCCAGGCCGAGGGGACCCGGCAGGCCCUGAGUCCAGGGAGGGUGGAUGAUAGGAGUCACACUGGGCCGCGUGAGGCGUCGGGGAGACCUCUGAGAGGAGGCGGGAGCGAGGCCAGUGGGAACCGGGACGAAGGAGAGCAGUUACGGCUGAGUGGCCUAGUCACCCCCGCCCGUCAGGCCUGCAGAUCAAGUGAGGGGGAGGGGCCGGCCAUGGCCCCCUGAGGGGCCCCCCAGAGAGGAAGGAGCGGGUGGGGGGUAUGGAGUCCAGGGAGGAGCAAGGGGAGCAGAGCGAAGGAGGAGACCAAGGGGCCUGGGCGGAAAAUGGCCCCCCUGGGGACCAGGGAGACUGGGGGGGCCGUGGGGAAAAGGGAGAUCGUGGGGUCCGGAGCUCGAGGGGGGAGAGAGGCCCUUCAGGUGAGAGAGGGGAACAUGGGGAUUGGGGGGAGCGUAGCUGCAAGACAGAGAAGGGAGAGCGAAGUGCCAAGGGUGAGCGGGCUCCCCGGAGUGACAAGAGUGAGCAGAUCGAGGGAACUCCUCGGGGUGAACGAGCUCUUCGGUCUCCUAGAGUCUCAGACUUGACAGACCGGAGUUUGUGGGGGGCAGAGCAAGGAGAAUGGGUGGACCGUGGACUGCCCUGGGCUGGGGAGCCUGACCCCUUGCUGCCCCCUGAGGAUUUUUUGCCGCCUCCCGAGUGUCCAGUGUUUGAGCCUAGUUGGGCCGAAUUCAGCGAUCCACUAGGUUACAUUGCCAAGAUUCGGCCUAUUGCAGAAAAGAGUGGUAUCUGCAAGAUCCGCCCGCCUGCUGACUGGCAGCCUCCUUUUGCUGUGGAAGUGGAUAACUUCCGGUUUACUCCACGGAUACAGAGGCUUAAUGAAUUGGAGGCACAGACCAGGGUGAAGCUGAACUAUUUAGAUCAGAUUGCAAAGUUCUGGGAAAUCCAAGGCUCUGCUCUGAAAAUCCCCAAUGUAGAGAGGCGAAUCCUUGAUUUAUACAGCCUGAGCAAAAUUGUGAUGGAGGAAGGUGGAUAUGAAGCCAUCUGCAAGGAUCGUCGGUGGGCACGAGUGGCCCAACGCCUUUCCUACCCAUCAGGAAAGAACAUUGGCUCUCUCCUUCGUUCUCACUAUGAGCGCAUUAUCUAUCCUUAUGAAAUGUACCAGUCUGGUGCCAAUCUGGUGCAAUGCAAUACCCACCCGUUUGACAAUGAGGAGAAGGACAAGGAGUAUAAGCCACACAGCAUCCCAUUGCGCCAAUCAGUGCAGCCUUCCAAGUUCAACAGUUAUGGGCGUCGGGCCAAACGUCUGCAGCAGGAGGAAUCCGACUUGUGCCCUGAACCUGCCAAUGCCACAGCUCUGUUACCCGAGCAAGCGCCUCGAGCAUGGCCGGAGCCAACAGAGGAAGAUAUUGAAAAGAAUCCAGAGCUGAAGAAACUGCAGAUUUAUGGUGCUGGUCCCAAAAUGCUGGGUCUGGGCCUUGUGGCCAAGGACAAGAACAUGCGCAAGAAAGACAAGGAAAUGCCGGAGUGCCCUCCAACAGUGAUAGUGAAAGAAGAGACCCCUGUUCCAGAGACUAAGCUGGAGCCCACCUCACCCCGAGGCUAUGCAAAUAUGAAAGAGGAACUGAGGCACAGCCCAGAACCUUGCACCAAGAUGACAAUGCGCCUGCGUCGCAACCACAACACUCAGUUUAUUGAGUCUUAUGUAUGUCGGAUAUGUGCACGGGGAGACGAGGAUGACAAGCUGCUGUUAUGUGAUGGCUGCGAUGACAACUACCACAUUUUUUGUCUCUUACCACCUUUGCCUGAGAUUCCAAAAGGAGUCUGGAGGUGUCCCAAAUGCGUCAUGGCGGAAUGCAAGCGCCCCCCAGAAGCUUUCGGCUUUGAGCAGGCCACUCGGGAGUACACACUACAGAGCUUUGGGGAGAUGGCAGAUUCUUUCAAGGCUGACUAUUUCAACAUGCCUGUACAUAUGGUGCCAACAGAGCUGGUGGAAAAGGAGUUCUGGCGCUUGGUAAACAGUAUUGAAGAGGAUGUGACAGUGGAGUACGGGGCUGACAUCCAUUCCAAGGAAUUUGGAAGUGGCUUCCCCAUCAACGAUGGCAAGAGGCAGCUCUCUCCAGAGGAAGAGGAGUAUGCUGUCAGUGGCUGGAACCUCAACGUGAUGCCAGUACUGAAGCAGUCAGUGCUAUGCCACAUCAAUGCUGAUAUUUCAGGCAUGAAGGUACCAUGGCUCUAUGUGGGCAUGGUGUUUUCUGCCUUCUGCUGGCACAUCGAGGAUCAUUGGAGUUACUCAAUAAACUACCUCCACUGGGGUGAGCCGAAGACCUGGUAUGGGGUCCCAUCUUUUGCAGCUGAACAUCUGGAAGAAGUCAUGAAGAAACUAACCCCAGAAUUGUUUGAAAGCCAGCCAGAUCUGUUGCACCAGUUGGUGACGCUCAUGAACCCCAACACACUUAUGGCUCACGGGGUCCCAGUUGUCCGGACCAAUCAGUGUGCUGGAGAGUUUGUUAUUACCUUCCCUAGAGCCUAUCACAGUGGUUUCAACCAGGGUUAUAAUUUUGCUGAAGCAGUCAACUUCUGCACUGCUGAUUGGUUGCCAGCUGGUCGCCAGUGCAUUGAGCACUACCGCCGCCUUCGCCGCUACUGUGUCUUUUCUCAUGAAGAGCUUAUCUGCAAGAUGGCUGCUUGCCCUGAGAAGCUGGACCUGAAUUUAGCAGCUGCUGUGCAUAAGGAGAUGUUUAUCUUAGUACAAGAAGAGCGCAAAUUGCGCAAGGCUCUCCUUGACAAGGGUAUCACAGAGGCAGAACGGGAGGCCUUUGAGCUGCUUCCAGAUGAUGAGCGCCAGUGUGACAAAUGCAAGACAACCUGCUUCCUGUCUGCACUGGCAUGCUAUGAUUGUCCAGAUUGUCUUGUCUGCCUCUACCACAUCAAUGACCUCUGCAAGUGCCCCAGCAGUAGGCAGUACCUCAGGUAUCGCUACACCUUGGAUGAGCUCCCAGCCAUGUUGCACAAAUUGAAGGUCAGAGCAGAGUGCUUUGACACGUGGGCCAACAAGGUUCGAAUCGCUUUGGAAGUGGAAGAUGGACGCAAGAGAACCUUGGAGGAAUUGCGUGCCCUGGAGUCAGAAGCACGUGAGAGGAAGUUCCCUGAGAAUGAGCUGCUUCAUCGGCUCAAAAGUUGUUUGAGUGAAGCUGAGAAGUGUGUCUCGGAGGCUCUGGGACUAAUAAGCAACCAAGAAACUGGGGAGCCGUCAGUCCACAUGACACUGGAAGAAUUGCGUGCCUUCUUAGAGCAAAUGAGCAACUUGCCCUGCGUCAUGCACCAGAUAAAGGAGGUCCAGGGAGUGUUGGAGAAGGUGGAGGCCUUCCAAACAGAGGUACAGGAAGCCCUGCAGGAUCUCCCAAGCAAUUCCCCGGAGCUGCACAAGUUGCUGGCCCAGGGUACACGGCUUGGGGUGGAGGUGCCAGAGAUGGAACUGCUGGAGAGGCAGGUGCAACAGGCAGUCUGGCUGGAGGAGGUCAAGCAGACUUUGCGUUCACCCCAGGACAAGGUCACUCUUUCUGUCAUGAGGGCACUCAUCACCUCUGGCUGUGGUGUAGCCCGUAGCCCUGCUGUGGACAAGGCGAUGGCUGAGUUGCAGGAGUUACUCACCAUUGCUCAGCGUUGGGAGGAAAAGGCCCAAAUGUGCCUGGAAGCCAGGCAGAAGCACCCACCUGCUACACUGGAGGCCAUCAUUAAAGAGGCAGAGAACAUCCCAGUGCAUCUGCCCAACAUCCUGUCACUCAAGGAGGCGCUCGCCAAGGCACAGGCUUGGAUUGCCGAUGUGGAGGAGAUCCAGAAUGGGGACCAUUAUCCCUGCCUGGAUGACCUGGAGGGGCUUGUGGCUGUGGGUAGGGAUUUGCCUGUGCGUCUGGAGGAGCUGCGUCAUUUAGAGGUACAAGUGGCAACAGCACAUUCCUGGCGGGAAAAGGCCUCCAAGACCUUCCUCAAAAAGAACUCCUGUUAUACAUUGCUUGAGGUGCUAUGCCCAUGUGCCGAUGCUGACUCAGACAGUGUCAAACGCACCAAGUGGCAACGGGAGAAGGAGCCUGGCCUUUACAAAUCUGACACAGAGAGCCUGGGCCUCUCAGCACAAGACCUCAGGGAUCCUGGCUCCGUUCAGAUCCUGGCCUUCAAAGAAGGUGAGCAGAAGGAGAAAGCAGGGAUCCUGCGCCUACGCCAGUCAAAUGCUCAGAAACCUGUGCCGUCAACACACAGUCCUCCUGGGGGCCAGUACUGUGUGUGUUCCCAGCCUCCGAGCCCUGCCAUGCUGCAGUGUGAACUGUGUCAGGACUGGUUCCAUGCUACAUGUGUGGUUUGGCCCCGCCUGGGCAACCCUCGACCCUCUCCAGCAUGGUGGGAGUGGGAAGCAAAGUUCCUCUGUCCACUGUGCCAGCGCUCUCGCCGGCCCCGCCUGGAGACUAUACUAGCCCUGCUGGUGGCCCUACAGAAGCUUCCUGUGCGGCUCCCAGAGGGUGAAGCCCUGCAGUGCUUGACAGAGCGAGCCAUUACGUGGCAGGACCGUGCUCGCCAGCUCCUCGCCUCCUCAGACAUAGUUGCUGCCUUGGAGCACUUGGCAGUGCUGCGGCAGCGGCUCGCUGGGGACUCCGCUAAGGAGGCAGGUGCCCUCAAGGAGAGUAGCUGUAAUGAACAGACCAAGGUUUCCUUGGAGAAUGGAGACUCUGCUACUCCAGAGAAGAACAGCUCCUGUGCCUCAGACCUGGAGAUGCUCUGCUCUUACCUGCCGCGGCUGCAGGGCCCCGUCCUGGAGUUGACAGAUGCCAUCCGUCUGCCCUUGGAAGAGCUGCUAAUGGAGGGAGACCUUUUGGAGGUGACACUAGAUGAGAGCCAGAGCAUUUGGCGCUUGCUUCAGGCUGCUUCUGCCCCCCAGCUGGACAAAUUCCGUCAGCUGCUGGAUCUGGAGCAAGCAGAGCGGCGUGGCACCCGUGGGCGAGGCCGGGACUCAGAGCGACGGCGGAAGCGCAAGUCAGAGCGUGGUGACUACCCACCUUUGCCCAAGGAGGAAUUAGAGCCAAAGAAGAUCCGGGGGACAGACCCAGCACUGCCCCAGGGUGGGGCUCCCCCUGCCACAGGCACAGAUUGCAGCCACAAUGGAGUUGGGUUGUGACAGCUAGAAGAUGCCUGGAUUUCCCUUUCCUGGACUGUACUGCACUGCAAGGGACUCUGGCAGCCCCAUGUCACCCUGUUGGCUUGACUAGCACUCUGCAUGGGGAGUGGGGGGGCACCCAGCCCCUAUAGGUGUGGGCUGCAAUUUACCCCACCACCACCAGGACUCAGCACUGGCCCUGCACCAGACUAUUUUCAGAUGAUUAGUGAAGUGCACAUCAUUACAGUAAGAGAAGAGCAAAAACUCCAGCAGAACAUACAUAUGUUGCCAGUACAACAAGCAGUGAAGGAAUCCUGAGUAGCAGAUUGUUAAGGCUAUCAAAACAAAUGCUAUAAGUACUUCAAAAGCAGAAAAGGAUCCAGACAUGUAGUGAAAGACAGGGAGAAAGAACCUAAUGGAUUGUGUCAGUCUUCAUUCUGGAAAGAGUUGGAGGAUUUCUUGGCUGACAAGCAUGAAAAGCAGUGCUGAGCAGAGGUGACAAGGCUAAAGAUGUAGAACUGAUUAAGAAGCUAAAAAUUAACAUCAGCUGGGCUGCAUAACAUUCACCAAAAUUUCUUUGAUAUGAAAUAAUUGAUGUCUUAGGCAAAACAAGUAACCAGUCAGUAAAAUUGACCUCUCUUAUUUGGAGAGAAAUGAAAGAUGGUCAAUAUAAUGUCCACUUUUCUGUUUUUAAGGAAAUUGCAAAGCUCUUUCUCUAUUCAAUCAAAAAUAGUUGAAUCUAGCUAGGAAAGAACUUGUAAGGAAGAAUCAGCAUGGCUCUGUUAAGGGAAAGGCUUCCCUCAGUCUUAGAAUUCUGCAUCUCACAUAUGGAACUAGAGAUGAGCCAAAGUCACUGACUUUUUGAAUGCUUUUUUAUAGUGUUUCUCACUAAAAUUUUUUAGGAAACUUACUGGUUGGAUAAGAAGAUAACAGAUGGGAAAACUUAAUAACUAGGUGCAAAAUAGGAAGAAGCAGGAAUAAGAAUAGUAUUAGGGUAGUCACAAUAGAAUGAAUCAAGCAGUAGCUGUUCUUCAGUGUUAGUAACAUUUCAGAAUUGAACUACAGGCUAGAGUGAAUGGUAUGCAGCCAGGCUCUGCAGGUGACACCAGUUGGCUCAAUCUCAAGCAGCCUGGGAGGUUUCAAGAGUGUCACCCACAGUAGGUGCAUACUGCUUCAUGCUGUAUAUAUUAAACAUGUGUGCUUAUGGAAUUCACACACAUGAGUCCUAGUUCAGAGCACUUGCUGUACAUGCGACAGGCCCCAAGUUUGAUCUGUGGCAUCUCUAGCUUAGGAAAUAAUCUUGCCCCAGCCCCUGAACUAUUUCUAGAUGGCAUCAUGGUGGACUGGCAUCAGCCAUCUUGACCUAGCUGGGCCAGUGGUCUAACUCAGUAAAAGACAGCUUCCUGGGUCCUGAUGAAUUGUGACCGCACAAAGCUUUUCUAGAGGGCAGUACUGCUGGCUCUCAGUGGAACUUAAAUGUGCCAAAUCAGACUACUGAAAGUGAUAGGCAUCUGGUGUUCAAGAAUAUGCUGUGUCAAACAUUAUUGGAUUAGAGGGAGUUUGGUCUGAUCCCAGCAUGGAAUUCUUUGGUUUGUUCUCUGUAUGUAUCUUCUGCCAGUGACUGGAGGGCAGCACCUCAGAUGGGCCCCAUAGAAACUGGGCUUCUCUCACUCCUUGGUCAGUUACCAGAAAGGAAGAUGUGGGCGGGUAGGGAGAGCAAGCAAGCAAUAAUGGGGUAAGAUAAUUGUGUUCCCCUCCCUUGUGCCCCAAGGAGUUCGCAUCUGUGAAGGCACAGGAGCACAUCCUCCCUCUUGUGAACAGAAGCACACUCA